UGGGGAAUAUUGCACAAUGGGCGCAAGCCUGAUGCAGCCAUGCCGCGUGUAUGAAGAAGGCCUUCGGGUUGUAAAGUACUUUCAGCGGGGAGGAAGGCGAUAAGGUUAAUAACCUUGUCGAUUGACGUUACCCGCAGAAGAAGCACCGGCUAACUCCGUGCCAGCAACCGCGGUAAUACGGAGGGUGCAAGCGUUAAUCGGAAUUACUGGGCGUAAAGCGCACGCAGGCGGUCUGUCAAGUCGGAUGUGAAAUCCCCGGGCUCAACCUGGGAACUGCAUUCGAAACUGGCAGGCUAGAGUCUUGUAGAGGGGGGUAGAAUUCCAGGUGUAGCGGUGAAAUGCGUAGAGAUCUGGAGGAAUACCGGUGGCGAAGGCGGCCCCCUGGACAAAGACUGACGCUCAGGUGCGAAAGCGUGGGGAGCAAACA
rnacentral:rRNA from 1 species